ACAUAUAAAUACACUGACACAUACACACAAAUUCAUAUGCACACUGACACAUACACACCAACACAAACUUAUGUGUGCAAACACCCUGACACAGAUGCACAGGAACACAAAGACACACACCUUGGCACAGAUGCACACUGAAACAUACACACACCCUAACUCAUAGAUACAAACGAUGACAUAUAGAUACACUAACUGACAUAUACAAACCCUGACGCAGAUGCACACAACUUGUCACACAGACACACACUGAUAUACACACCCUGACGCUCGGAUACACACAUGCGUACACUCUGAUACACAAAUACACACCGGUAUUAACACACCCUGACACACAGAUACACACUCAUAUUCACAUACACACAAUCUGACAUAAAUAGACAUACACAUUGUAACGGAACCGCUGGCACCCCAACCGGGUAGCUUCCGCUGACGGAUGCUCCUAGU